AUGCACAAUUAACCUACUAAAAGUAUACUGACUAAAAGGCAAAACAGAACUGUCAAAUUAUAUUAUAGCUGUGUCGUUGUAUACUUGCAAAUUAUAAUCUUAAGUGUAACAUAAUUUUGUUGGGGGAAACUGAAAUGCCCAUCAAAUUUUUUUCCCAGUUUGCUAAAUGUGUUCUGAAGAAGGAGUCGAUUGUCUUUUCAAAUACGGACAAAGACGUUAACAUCAUGAGAGAAGAAAUAGCAGUCACUCUCCUCCAAAACACUGAUGACCUGAGCCAACUGUGCCACUUCUGUGGGGAGGUGGACAAUAAUGAGGAAAACAUUAACUCGAUUGGUUGUGACCGCUGCCCACAAUGGUCCCACCAGUCCUGUAUGAAAACCAUCCCAUCCUUGGAGGAUUAUGUCUACGCUGCCUGCCAGGACAAGGUUAGGCUUGAGUUCCAGGUGGCGGUAUCACCAGGAAAACUUUCCAUAAAAAGUGGACUAAAUGCUGUUGCAGCUUUCCAAUAUUUGUUUAUGUUAUUUAUUGUCUUUUUAUACUUGAUUUGUCAUUUUAUAUCUUAUUAUGCAAA